CCUACGGGUGGCAGCAGUAGGGAAUCUUCCACAAUGGGCGAAAGCCUGAUGGAGCAACGCCGCGUGGGUGAAGAAGGUCUUCGGAUCGUAAAACCCUGUUGUUAGAGAAGAAAAUGCGUGAGAGUAACUGAUCACGUUUCGACGGUAUCUUACCAGAAAGCCACGGCUAACUACGUGCCAGCAGCCGCGGUAAUACGUAGGUGGCAAGCGUUAUCCGGAUUUAUUGGGCGGAAAGGGAACUAAGGAGGUAUUUUAAGUCUGGUGUGAAAGCCUUCGGCUUAACCGGAGUAGUGCAUUGGAAACUGGAAGACUUGAGUGCAGUAGAGGAGAGUGGAAGUCCAUGUGUAGCGGUGAAAUGCGUAGAUAUAUGGAAGAACACCAGUGGCGAAGGCGGCUCUCUGGUCUGUAACUGACGCUGAGGUUCGAAAGCGUGGGUAGCAAACAGGAUUAGAUACCCGAGUAGUC
rnacentral:rRNA from 1 species